GAUGAACGCUGGCGGCGUGCCUAAUACAUGCAAGUCGAGCGAACAGACGAGGAGCUUGCUCCUCUGACGUUAGCGGCGGACGGGUGAGUAACACGUGGAUAACCUACCUAUAAGACUGGGAUAACUUCGGGAAACCGGAGCUAAUACCGGAUAAUAUAUUUAACCGCAUGGUUCAAUAUUGAAAGACGGUUUUGCUGUCACUUAUAGAUUGAUCCGCGCCGCAUUAGCUAGUUGGUAAGGUAACGGCUUACCAAGGCAACGAUGCGUAGCCGACCUGAGAGGGUGAUCGGCCACACUGGAACUGAGACACGGUCCAGACUCCUACGGGAGGCAGCAGUAGGGAAUCUUCCGCAAUGGGCGAAAGCCUGACGGAGCAACGCCGCGUGAGUGAUGAAGGUCUUCGGAUCGUAAAACUCUGUUAUUAGGGAAGAACAAAUGUGUAAGUAACUAUGCACGUCUUGACGGUACCUAAUCAGAAAGCCACGGCUAACUACGUG
rnacentral:rRNA from 1 species